rnacentral:rRNA from 1 species
CUACCUUCAGGUCGGGGAUAACCCCUGGAAACGGGGGCUAAUACCGGAUAGGUCGAAAGAUGAAAGGUUAACUGCCUGAAGAGGAGCUCGCGUCUGAUUAGCUAGUAGGUGUGGUAAGAGCGCACCUAGGCGACGAUCAGUAGCUGGUCUGAGAGGAUGAGCAGCCACACUGGGACUGAGACACGGCCCAGACUCCUACGGGAGGCAGCAGUGGGGAAUUUUCCGCAAUGGGCGAAAGCCUGACGGAGCAAGACCGCGUGGGGGAGGAAGGCCUUUGGGUUGUAAACCCCUUUUGUUAGGGAAGAAAAAAAUGACGGUACCUAACGAAUCAGCCUCGGCUAACUCCGUGCCAGCAGCCGCGGUAAUACGGAGGAGGCAAGCGUUAUCCGGAAUUAUUGGGCGUAAAGCGUCCGUAGGUGGCCCGGCAAGUCUGCUGUCAAAGACCACAGCUCAACUGUGGAAAGGCAGUGGAAACUGCAAGGCUAGAGUGCGGUAGGGGUAGAGGGAAUUCCCAGUGUAGCGGUGAAAUGCGUAGAGAUUGGGAAGAACACCGGUGGCGAAAGCGCUCUACUGGGCCGCAACUGACACUGAAUGGACGAAAGCUAGGGGAGCGAAUGGGAUUAGAUACCCCA